rnacentral:lncRNA from 1 species
CUAGAAGGAAUUGAGGGGAGUGGGGUGGACCGCGAUGCAUUUUAAAGGUUGGGAAAGAGCUAAGCCAUUGGAUUCCUUUUCUUGAAGGAAGGAGUGGAAUUGUGUAAGAUAAUUGAUACAGAUAACUUUUUCACCCUGAAAAAUUCUAACACUUCUUUCAGCAGUUAAAUGCCAAAUUUAGUGUGUACCUGUUUUACUUCAUUCUUUAGCUGUAGGUUGGAGUGGUGUGAGCGAUCUGCAGAACUGGCAUUAGAGGGGCAGAAGUAGACCUGAUAAUUAAAGUUUAUGCCUUAACAUUUUAGAUCUGGUUUCUGAUAUGCUCUCUUAGUAAAUCUGAGCGUGUCUUUAAAAACGUAAACCCAAAGCAAUUUAAAGUUUCUCUUUAAACUUUGCAACUCGCGAAUGAGAAGAUUGAAAUUAUUUGUAGGUAAUUGCACUAUUCCGAUUUUUUAAUGUAUGAGGCAAACAAAUAAAUUCUAUGUACAGUG